GGGGCUGUGGCUCAGUGCUAGAGCACUUGCCUCAUGUGUGGGGCACUGGGUUCGAUUCUCAGCACCACA
rnacentral:tRNA from 1 species